rnacentral:rRNA from 1 species
ACACUCCUACGGGAGGCAGCAGUGGGGAAUAUUGCACAAUGGGCGCAAGCCUGAUGCAGCCAUGCCGCGUGUAUGAAGAAGGCCUUCGGGUUGUAAAGUACUUUCAGCGGGGAGGAAGGCGAUAAGGUUAAUAACCUUGUCGAUUGACGUUACCCGCAGAAGAAGCACCGGCUAACUCCGUGCCAGCAGCCGCGGUAAUACGGAGGGUGCAAGCGUUAAUCGGAAUUACUGGGCGUAAAGCGCACGCAGGCGGUCUGUCAAGUCGGAUGUGAAAUCCCCGGGCUCAACCUGGGAACUGCAUUCGAAACUGGCAGGCUAGAGUCUUGUAGAGGGGGGUAGAAUUCCAGGUGUAGCGGUGAAAUGCGUAGAGAGCUGGAGGAAUACCGGUGGCGAAGGCGGCCCCCCGGACAAAGACUGACGCUCAGGUGCGAAAGCGUGGGGAGCAAACAGGAUUAGAAACCCGGGGAGUCCC